CCAGGCCGGUGGGGGGGAACCCGCAGAUGGCUGGGAGGCGGCGGGACCCCCACUCCCGCACCCCCACGUGGAACUGGAGUCCUUAGCCUCCACGUGGGCGAGCCCCAGGGGGUGCGGGAACACCCCAAAGCUGCCCAGAGCAUUCUUCUGGGUGAGAGGGGCCACAGCCCUGGAGGGUCGAGGGCUCCCAGUUCAGUCCCAGCUGGCGGCCUCCGGAGCUGCAUACCCUGUGCUAGGCGGAUCCGUCCUUACUGGCAUUUUUUGAUAAGUUGUUCACCGUGGAUUUUUUUUUUUUUUGGCAUUAGUUUUGACAUUUUAAAGUAUUGCAUUAAAAUAUUAUGUAUCUUGGCAACGUACGGGUGUUUGGGCACCCCCUUAAUUCUAAAACUCCACUACUGAAGGUUGUUUGGGGUCCCCUGGAGUUUUGCAUCCUUACUCGCCUCACCCAAGCCAGGUGCAGCACUGUGCUGAGUGUCACCAUUUCUGGCAGGCCUGCCAUCCGCAUUUGCAGAUGAGAAAGCUGAGAUUCUGAAAGAUUGAGUAACCUUCCAGAGAUCUCCGAGCUGGUAGGCGGUGGAGUGUGCAAACCCCUGUCCAAAACCGAGGGAAGAGAGUCUGCCAUGAGGAGAGCCUUGCACAUGGUCCUGCUUUCCGGGCACACCCACACUUGUGUCGUGGACAGAAGGCACGCUCGGUAGCUCAGGGCAAGGAGGAGAGCUGCACGGGAGACGUCAGACGCCGCUGCGCAACCACAUGAAGGAGCUCCUGGUCAGCUGGGAAGAGAAGUCAUGGACACUGAUAAGAAUUCUUAGGAAGGGACCUUGCUUCCUGCAUCUGUUGCCUCGUCACACACAGUCUGCCUGCCAGGUAGGUUCCUGACACCACACCAGUGACUGUGCAUAAACAGUUCUGAUGGAAGUUCAGUCCAGAAGGCACUGAGCCAUUGCCAUUGCAGAAAAGGGCACUCACCAGCCAGCCAAUACUGGGCCAUCUCUGUGGGGCCGAAGGCAAUGAGCCUAGGAACUGGGCAGACCGUGACUGCCGGGCCCAGGUGACAUUUCAGGCAUGAGAUAGAAUAGGAAUUCCCAGUCUGUUGGGGGCCCGGGGCCCACGUGGUCCACUCCCUGUCCAAGCAGACCAGCCGCAGACCCCACAUCUGCCUCGAGACAAGCUAUUCACCUGAAAAGCCUUCCCAGUGGACACACAGUAGUGGACACACGCUCAAUAAACGUUCGUGAACGCAUCGCUCGUGGAGUCUUAGCCUGCAGAACGGAGGGCUGCAUGCUGCCCAGGUAGCAGUCCCACCGAUCUAGCCACCAAGCUCUUUCUGAGGACUCACUGUGUGCCAGCCUCUGCUCUCCGCUCUCCAGUGGUCUGGGGAGGAGACCAGCAAGGAGACAGGCGGAAAAUGCAGCUCAGAAAGCCUUGCCUCAAGGAGUACUUGCUUCCCUGGUUUGCAGAACCAGGAGGAGAACUCAGAUCCCAGUUUCCCCAGAUGCCCUGUCCUGCUGGGCACAAACAGGGUGGAGCUAUCUUUCGUAUUCAGGCCCCACACAGCCGCAGCAUAGGAUGUGUGCACACGGUGCACGUCUAACAAU